rnacentral:rRNA from 1 species
AUAUCAAUAAGCGGAGGAAAGAACCAACAGGGAUUGCCUUAGUAACGGCGAGUGAAGCGGCAACAGCUCAAAUUUGAAAUCUGGCCCCCAGGCCCGAGUUGUAAUUUGUAGAGGAUGCUUCUGGCGACGCGACUUCCGAGUUCCCUGGAACGGGACGCCAAAGAGGGUGAGAGCCCCGUCCGGCCGUUCGCCUAGCCUAUGUGAAGCUCCUUCGACGAGUCGAGUAGUUUGGGAAUGCUGCUCUAAAUGGGAGGUAUACGUCUUCUAAAGCUAAAUAUUGGCCAGAGACCGAUAGCGCACAAGUAGAGUGAUCGAAAGAUGAAAAGCACUUUGAAAAGAGGGUUAAAUAGUACGUGAAAUUGCUGAAAGGGAAGCGCUUAUGACCAGACUUGGGCUAGGUGAAUCAUCCGGCGUUCUCGCCGGUGCACUUUGCCUGUCCAGGCCAGCAUCAGUUCGCUUCGGGGGAUAAAGGCUUCGGGAAUGUAGCUCCUCCGGGAGUGUUAUAGACCGUUGUGUAAUACCCUGGGGUGGACUGAGGUACGCGUUCUGCAAGGAUGCUGGCGUAAUGGUCAUCAGUGACCCGUCGUGAAACACGGGCCCAAGGAGUCGUCUUCGUAUGCGNAGUGUUCGGGUGUCAAAACCCUACGCGUAAAUGAAAGUGAACGUA